GGGGCGGAUGCCCCGCCCUAAUGCAGCCGGAGGCGGUCACAAGCCCGCAAAAUGCAGAGUGGGGU
rnacentral:ribozyme from 1 species